AUGCUUUCUCUGAUGGCUACUACUUUGUCGGUGCGGCAGGAAGGCGCACGAACCGAGGGCAGCCCGGAAUCGGCGCUGAAUCCGUUGUCGUGCUCCUGGAGCGUCGGGAUCGACAACAGCAUCGCCGGCAGCCCGCCCGCGAAAGCGUCGCCCUGGAGGACGACUGAGAACGAGGUGAGCGCUGAGGUCGAGGACGUCGUCCGGGACGAUGCCGCUCAGGUUCAUAGCGGCGAGGUCGAUAGCGGUGACCGCACCCCGCGUGUUGCAGCGCACACCCUUCCAGCUACAGCUCCAGCCCCAGAGCUUCCCCAGGGGUCGACGAGCGAGGCCCUGAUGGCCGGCAGCGCCGCAGCCUCGGCAUUGGACAGUGUGGCGCAGUACAAGAGCCACAAGCCGGAGAAAAGCAUCGGCUGGGAGGAGGUAGCCAAUGGGGUUCCACAACCGGACGAGGGCUUUGGCGUCGAUCUCCCUCCUCCUGCUCCCAAUCGCCGGUACGGCCUCCAUCGACUAGAUCUUCACCACCUCCGGGUACAUCAAGAUGAAGAUCAAGAGAAUUCCGAUGAAAGGCAUCAUGUUGAUUCUAAUAUGAAAAUGGAUGAUGCCAAGUCUCAAAACUCUGAAAUGUGUUCUGUUUAUUUGGUUCUUAGUUGUGGCUUCAUCAGAUCUCAGCUGGGGACCCGUUUAGGACCGCCGCUGGCUACUCGCUACCGAGCUACUGGCCAUGGCGAUUAUAGUAUUGAUCUGCCGCAGUGCCACUGGGAUAAAACCCUCCGCGAAGCCCACUUUAACUCGCACCACUUCUCCUCCAUCUUUUCUCCCAACCAUACCUCACCCACCAUCCUUCCUCGUCUGCGCACUGCCGCGGAAGAACAUACCACACGACCACAGACCUGGCUCCAGUCCUGCCUGACACCCAAGAUGAGUUCUUCUUCCAACAGGUUUUGUCGUCCGGUGACGCUGCCACUUCUGCUGCUGCUGCUGCUUCUGCUCGUGAGUUCGUCGUCGUUGGCGCUGGGCCUGGCCGACGCGAGCGGGCAGCACCGGCCGGCCCGGCGGUUGCUGGUGUCGCCGCCGUCGACGCACGGCUCCGAGCAACGAAUGCGGAUCGACGGUGAGAAGGAGCCCUUCAAGGACGCCCGGGCGAGCUUGGGGCGCCGGAAGAUACCGGCCUCACGGUAUAGUCCCAUCCACAACAGAUAG
rnacentral:rRNA from 1 species